AGUGAACGCUGGCGGUAGGCCUAACACAUGCAAGUCGAACGGCAGCACAGGAAGAGCUUGCUCUUACGGGUGGCGAGUGGCGGACGGGUGAGGAAUACAUCGGCAUCUACUUUUUCGUGGGGGAUAACGUAGGGAAACUUACGCUAAUACCGCAUACGACCUACGGGUGAAAGCAGGGGUUCUUCGGACCUUGCGCGAUUGAAUUAGCCGAUGUCGGAUUAGCUAGUUGGCGGGGUAAAGGCCCACCAAGGCGACGAUCCGUAGCUGGGCUGAGAGGAUGAUCCGCCACACUGGAACUGAGACACGGUCCAGACUCCUACGGGAGGCAGCAGUGGGGAAUAUUGGACAAUGGGCGCAAGCCUGAUCCAGCCAUACCGCGUGGGUGAAGAAGGCCUUCGGGUUGUAAAGCCCUUUUGUUGGGAAAGAAAAGCAGCAGGUUAAUACCCCGCUGUUCUGACGGUACCCAAAGAAUAAGCACCGGCUAACUUCGUG
rnacentral:rRNA from 1 species